rnacentral:rRNA from 1 species
GACGUAGGAGGCGAGCGUUGUCCGGAUUCAUUGGGCGUAAAGAGCACGCAGGCGGUUUGGCAAGUCGGAUGUGAAAACCCGAAGCUCAACUUCGGGCCUGCAUCCGAAACUGCCCGACUAGAGGUAGGUAAGGGAGAUCGGAAUUCCUGGUGUAGCGGUGAAAUGCGCAGAUAUCAGGAGGAACACCGGUGGCGAAGGCGGAUCUCUGGGCCUUACCUGACGCUCAGGUGCGAAAGCUAGGGGAGCGAACAGG